GCAGUCAGUGGUGUCUGCUGCCAGAUGUGUGAAGGUUCCCGGGGUCCUGGACACUAAAAGGAUGCAUAAAAAUAUUUGGAGACAAAAGCUGCAUCCUCAGUGAUCAUUUUCUGUAUUUAACAUGGCAGCAGGCACCGUGUGGAGAAAUCAACAAGCUGGAUGUUGAACUGGACUUUCCUCCUUUCUAGGAUGAAAGGAUGUGAUCUAUCCCGUGCCAAAAGGGAGCUGAGCACAGAAGCGAUGAAUGCUGCAUAAUUAAGUACAGUAUUUAAUUUGGCUGUUGUGAAGCAAAAGAAUAAGGGGGAGGGGAAGAAAGUCUCCAAAACUAACCCGUCGCGGUGAGUACACUACAGGCUGCCCAAGGGGAAAACGGCUGCUUUAUUUAACUGUCUUUUUUGGCAACUUUUCUUACUGGGAGGUUGGAGGGGGAGUCGUGCUUUGUGCAUCUUUUUAAAGGUUGUGAAAAGGGCAAUCAUGUGCCCACCAACAGAGAGUGAUUGUCUAUAGCAGAGAUUCCAUGUAUUUUAAAGUUAUUGGUUUUAUCUGAAGCAUAGACGUUUGUAACUUUGGUCAGAUGGCAGUGUUUCUACAUCUACUUUGUUAGAUGUAGAAACUUUGUGAACACCUGAUGCUUGCUGUUUUGCUGCUUUACCAUUUUUGGAUGGCAUGGUCUAUUUUGUAUAUUUCAUUUUAUGAAGGAUGUUUAACUAACGAUUCAAUUCUCACCAUCCAAAACAUAAUGUAUAAGGCAAGUUUUUUUUGUUUGGUUGGUUUUUUGUUUUUUUCUUCCUCAUAUCAUUCACCUGGUGUUAUGUCAGAUGAUUUAAAUGUAAGGAAUUUGUUGAAAUGAAAUUAGAGAAUGUUACUUUUUCAUGUUUAGUGGCUUGUCAGGCUGGUAGCUGUACAUUUCUCCUGAGUUCUUCCAUCUGAACAAGCAUAAAUUGUUAUUGGAAACAGAGUAGAUGAACUAGGGAAGCUUAUUCAAUUAUUCUGUGAUAACUCUACAAAAACUACUCUGAAGUAAACAUAUGCUCAUGCAGUAUUUACAGGAUUGUUACUCUAAUUAUUAACAAUGAUCUACCAUUAAGUGUCUUAGACUCAAAAGAAAACUCACAACCAAACUAAGUGAAACAACAUCAAAACACCAAAAGUAACGCAAAAGAUAGUAAAGUACAGAUGAAGGACUAAGAAUGUUGGGUACAUUUAGAAUUUUGAAGGUAAACAACAUAAAGCUAAUUCCUUUAGAACUUUUCCAUUAAAGACUACAUCUGGAAUUCUGUGUUGUUAUCAGCUGUUGAUAGUGUUGUCUGGUUUAAAGGCCUUGGAACCAGUUAGUGAGUCACUGCUCUUUGCAAGCGAAGUCCUACAUACUGUGACUGGAUUAGACAUUAUGUUUAUAUAUAGCCCAAUCCUGAAAGUAAUUAUUAUUAAACUAUUAAAUAAGGAAGCUGCAGACUAAAUCAGUGUAGCUAGGUGAUGCAUAACUAGAUGUUUGCAUCUGCAACCAAGUGAUCAUCUGCAUGAACAAAUUGACUUCAGUCUUUUGCAGAGUGUGACUUUCAUUGCAAGUCAAUAUUCCACAUCAAAUUGUACUGAUGCAUGGUAUUGGUAUCAUACAGCUGAAAAGGACUCCAAGGAGGUGUCAUAUCCACCCUCUCAUUCUUCAAAGCCAAGAUCAAUAAAGUUUGUUUUAAUGGGUGCUUGCUGACUGUUCUCAAAGAUUUGUUGUGAUUACUUACUGAAAUAAUCUAUUCCAGUGUUUCACUAGCCUUGCCAUUAAAAUGUUUUUCCUGAUUUUUGAUAGGAAGCCUGGCUUGCUGAAUGUUACUUUAGUCUGUUAUUUUUUGGCUCUAGGGUUACAGGGAACUUAUUUUGCUUCUUGUAGGAAACUUUCAUAUUGGAGUUCCUUAACCAUGUUCUAACUGUUUUCAUCUCUCAGAGAAUCCAAACUUGUUCUUUUCUUGUUUUGAAAAAGAAAAUCUUAGGGUUGUUUUGUUUUGUUUUGUGGCAUUUUUGAUCAUUAAUUCUUGUUGCUUUCAUCUGAACUCUUCCUAUUUCUUCUUUCUUUAAAUGCACUGCUCCAGAGUCAGGCAUGGUGUUCCAGCCAUCAUAUUAAUAAAUUUUAUUAAUAUUCUAAAAUCUACAUUUUCAUCUAAAUAAAGGUAAUUUUCUCACUUUUGUUUUUAAGAAAGGAUUAACAGCAAGACUUUGAUCUUACAAGUGUAAUGAUAUCUGUUAAUCCAAACAACAGUCUAGAAAAAUAUGAAGAGAUGCAACAUGUGUUUGAAUGAGUUUUUAGUUUAAAAGUUUAUGCUCCAGCAGUAUCCUGUAUCUGUUACCCUUAACUCUCAUGAUUUAAUGGUACCUCGUUAUGACUUGACAUCAUACUUAAUAUCUGAAAGGUUAAAUCCUCCAUGUAUUUUUUCAAGGUUUACAAGCACUAUCAGAGUGACAAAACAUUAGCGCUCUAAACUGUUCUAAAGCAUCUUCAUGGCCAGAAGAAGUUAAAAACUUAACUUUUCCACAUAUUUGCCUUGGAUUUCCCAUUUUGGCGCUGAACAAUCCCAAUUUGAGGCAAUAAAAGGAUCAGGGGAGAAAGGUAUUUGUGGGAGCGGCAAGACCAUAAGUGGCAACUGGAAAUUAAGGUCCAGAUUUAACUGUGCAGUAAAGAUGAAUAGUAUGUUCUAGAUUUAAAAAAAAAAAAAAAAAAAAAAAAAGUUAGAAAGUUAUUUUGUUCUAUCUAGUCUGGCAAAUUCAUUUUACAUCUGAACUACGUAUCUAGAAAAGAGCAAAUUGCGGUAUACUCGGUUAUGGUAAAGUGAAGGUCAACUCCUUUUUAGUUUAUAUGUGCCUGAGUUGCUGUGGACUGGGAGAACAACACUUCCAAAGCAACAGUGGGAGGGUCAUAUUGGAAGAAUUAAAGAUGGUGUAAUAUUUACAGGGAGCAGUUUUAAUGUAAUCUGAUCAUGAAGAUAUGGUGGCUACCAAAGAGAAGGACCUUUAAGUGAUUACACAGGUAUCUAAUUCAUAUGUGCUUUUAGUUCCAAUGUUUAGGAAUAUUGCAAGUUUUUUUUUUUUUUUUGAGAGAUGUAAUUUAUAUUUAUUUACCUAUUCUAAUAUUAGAAAGAUGAGAAAACAUUUUUAACUCUGUGUAAUUUUAAUCUAAAAAAAAGUUAGGAAAAUCAGCCCAUAAUACAUAGGUCACUCCAAAAGUAAUGCCUCCUAUUUAUUUCCCUGGAAGCUACAACAGAUAUAAAGAGCACAAUAACGCUAUUUGAUAGAGAAAGUUGCCAGCUACAAAAGAGCAUGUUUCAACAUAGUCACCAUCAUUAGCUAUGCAUUUUCAUCAGUGAUGAACAAAAGCCUGCAUGCCAUACUUACAAAAAUCCACACAGGUGGAGGUGAGCAACUGUUUCACAGCUGCUAUAAUGGUAUAAUUGCUAGGAAAAUGUUGCCCACACAGUCCAUUUUUCAUUGGCUCAAAAAGAUGGACAUCCAAAGGUGCGAAAUCUGAAUUAUACAGUGGAUGCGGUAGGACAGUCCAGCCAAGAUUGGCAGUGUGCUCCAUGGUCUUCAAACUGAUAUGAAAUCUAGCAUUUUUAUUUUGCAGGAGAAGAGUUUUCUUCUUCUCUGGCCUGACUCUGGAAACUUGAGUCUUCAAGUUAGUCAGUAUUACAAUCUAGCAGUCAGAGUGAUUUGUUAGUCUGAAUUCCAGGAAAUCCAGAAGGAUCACCGCUUUCCUAUCCCAAAAGACAGUCCAUGUCUCUUUACCUGCUGAGGGCUGGAACUUGCUCUUUGAUGGGGAAUUCACGUCGCUACUUCAUGGAGUACCGUUUUGACUCUGGCUUGUAGUAGUGACACCACAUCUUGUCACCAAUGAGAAUGUGAUCCGGGACACUGUCAACCUUCAGCCUCAGAUUGGUUCAACCUGUGUGUGCUUUUGUAGGAUCCACCUAGCACAAACUUUGUAAUAGUCCAACACUGCACCAUUGUUUCCAAUGCAUUGAAGCUGAUAUGGAUCCAUACAGUUCACUGGUCAUAAUCCAGAUGAUAUAUGCUCAUUCUGUCAUGACAGAUCUGCAUGGCUUGUCUUUCAUAUCACAGUCGCUGCUGCUGAAAUGCACUACCCAACUCCUCUCUGUGCUCACAUCCACUGUUUGGUGCUCAUAAAUGCUGAGUAAGCAUUACUGAAUGUCAGUGGGAGCAAUUUUUUCUGCAUGGAGGAAUUCACUGAUACGUCUUUGAUUCAAAUGCACUUCCAUGUAGGAUAUCAUUGUAUCAGACUGCUCCUCUGCUUCCAUAUGUCACAUGGCAUCCAAACAUAAUGGAAUAUUGGUGAGAAGAUACAACCUCUACUGCCAUACAACCAACAUCUGAUUCUGAUGUUGUGGGACAUCAUCAUAAAAUAGGAGGCAUUACUUUCGGAGCAACCCUCAUAUAUUUAAAGGCGUGCUGUUUUAUGGUAUUAUUCAUCUUGCUUCAAGCUCAAGUACCAUAAUAAACAUUAGGUUCUGAAGUUGUAUGAUGACUUAAGUAUUUCCAAAUGUCUUGUCUUAAUCUAGACGAAUAAUGCAUUCCUUUCAAAUGCGUAAUUUUCAUGAAAAACAAUGGGAGCACUACAUUGUAGAAGGAAUAAUGGAUACAUAUGCCAGGGUCUCUCACUUUUGAGUCACUGUUUUAACGUGAAUGACA